UACGAGGGGGGCAAAUGUUGUUCGGAAUCACUGGGCGUAAAGGGAGCGUAGGCGGGGUCUUAAGUAAAGUGUUUAAUCCCGGGGCCCAACCCCGGACCGGCAUUUUAAACUGGGACUCUUGAAUAGUGGAGAGGUCGGUGGAAUUGGAGGUGUAGCGGUGGAAUGCGUAGAGAUCUCCAAGAACACCAGUUGCGAAGGCGGCCGACUGGACACAUAUUGACGCUGAGGCUCGAAAGCAUGGGGAGCAAACAGG
rnacentral:rRNA from 1 species